AUGUGUUUCUUGAUUUAACUUUGUAACGUAAUGAUCCUAUGGUAAUGAUAUUAGUUUACUAUUUUAGUCGACAGCUAAAAACAGUUUGAAGGUCUAGCUCAGCGUCAGCUACUAAUAUCAAGGAUUUGUCGAGAAUUUCAGGGUCGGUGGAAAUGCAUUUGUUUUACUUGUCGCUUGUUUUCUGCGUCCUGACUGCAUGCCACAUGACCACAUCCACCUGUGAUGAGCUCCUGACUUCAGAAGACGCUGAAUUCUGCAAGGGAGAAUUAAGGGUGAUUUACCCUGAUCUGGUUGUUGACAAAUGCAUGAUCGUCCCUCAGAGGAUCAGAGAGAAGAUCAGUAAGGAGUGGGGAGCACCUCAAUUACAGCUGCCAAGUGCUGUUGAGUGUUGUAGGUCCAUUUUACUCAAUGACACUAGAAUGGAGAGAAGUGGAGAAAUGGAGCAUGAUGCAGUCUACGCUUGAACUCAAACUUGAAUUUCCUGCAUGAGCACCACAGCUCAAUGUGUCUGGUGCUUGUGCACUAACUGUUAAGCUUUGUUUUUUGAAUCGGUGAUUAUUCUCAUCAGUAAUAAGAUCAA